GCCGGGGCAGCUUAGCCUGGUAGAGCGCGGGGCUCAUAGGGCCCGAUGACCCCGAGGGGUGACCGGCCUGGGAUGGGCCCGAUGACCCCGAGGGGUGACCGGCCUGGGAUACCCCGAGGUCCCGGGUUCAAAUCCCGGCCCCGGCACCA
rnacentral:tRNA from 1 species